rnacentral:rRNA from 1 species
GACGAACGCUGGCGGCGUGCUUAACACAUGCAAGUCGAGCGGAAAGGCCCUUCGGUGUACUCGAGCGGCGAACGGGUGAGUAACACGUGAGUAACCUGCCCUUGGCUCUGGGAUAAGCCCGGGAAACUGGGUCUAAUACCGGGUAUGACUUGUCUCCGCAUGGGGGUGUGUGGAAAGUUUUUCGGCUGGGGAUGGACUCGCGGUCUAUCAGCUUGUUGGUGGGGUAGUGGCUCACCAAGGCGACGAAGGGUAGCCGGCCUGAGAGGGCGACCGGCCACACUGGGACUGAGACACGGCCCAGACUCCUACGGGAGGCAGCAGUGGGGAAUAUUGCACAAUGGGCGGAAGCCUGAUGCAGCGACGCCGCGUGAGGGAUGACGGCCUUCGGGUUGUAAACCUCUUUCAGCUCUGAAGAAGCGAAAGUGACGGUAGGAGCAGAAGAAGCACCGGCUAACUACGUGCCAGCCGCCGCGGUAACAC